rnacentral:rRNA from 1 species
AUUGAACGCUGGCGGAAUGCUUUACACAUGCAAGUCGAACGGUAGAGGGGCAACCCUUGAGAGUGGCGAACGUGUGAGUAAUGUAUCGGAACAUGCCCAGUCGUGGGGGAUAACGUAGCGAAAGUUACGCUAAUACCGCAUACGAUCUAUGGAUGAAAGCGGGGGAUCGCAAGACCUCGCGCGAUUGGAGUGGCCGAUAUCAGAUUAGGUAGUUGGUGGGGUAAAGGCCUACCAAGCCGACGAUCUGUAGCUGGUCUGAGAGGACGACCAGCCACACUGGGACUGAGACACGGCCCAGACUCCUACGGAGGCAGCAGUGGGGAAUUUUGGACAAUGGGCGCAAGCCUGAUCCAGCCAUUCCGCGUGCAGGAAGAAGGCCUUCGGGUUGUAAACUGCUUUUGUACGGAACGAAACGCGCUGAGCUAAUACCUCGGCGUAAUGACGGUACCGUAAGAAUAAGCACCGGCUAACUACGUGCCAGCAGCCGCCGUAACAC